rnacentral:rRNA from 1 species
CUCCGUAGGUGAACCUGCGGAGGGAUCAUUACACAAAUAUGAAGGCGGGCUGGAAUCUCUCGGGGUUACAGCCUUGCUGAAUUAUUCACCCUUGUCUUUUGCGUACUUCUUGUUUCCUUGGUGGGUUCGCCCACCACUAGGACAAACAUAAACCUUUUGUAAUUGCAAUCAGCGUCAGUAACAAAUUAAUAAUUACAACUUUCAACAACGGAUCUCUUGGUUCUGGCAUCGAUGAAGAACGCAGCGAAAUGCGAUAAGUAGUGUGAAUUGCAGAAUUCAGUGAAUCAUCGAAUCUUUGAACGCACAUUGCGCCCUUUGGUAUUCCAAAGGGCAUGCCUGUUCGAGCGUCAUUUGUACCCUCAAGCUUUGCUUGGUGUUGGGCGUCUUGUCUCUAGCUUUGCUGGAGACUCGCCUUAAAGUAAUUGGCAGCCGGCCUACUGGUUUCGGAGCGCAGCACAAGUCGCACUCUCUAUCAGCAAAGGUCUAGCAUCCAUUAAGCCUUUUUUCAACUUUUGACCUCGGAUCAGGUAGGGAUACCCGCUGAACUUAAGCAUAUCAAUAAGCGGAGGAA